rnacentral:rRNA from 1 species
UACGUAGGGUGCGAGCGUUGUCCGGAAUUAUUGGGCGUAAAGAGCUCGUAGGCGGUCUGUCGCGUCGGUCGUGAAAACUUGGGGCUUAACCCUGAGCUUGCGGUCGAUACGGGCAUGACUGGAGUUCGGCAGGGGAGACUGGAAUUCCUGGUGUAGCGGUGAAAUGCGCAGAUAUCAGGAGAAACACCGGUGGCGAAGGCGGGUCUCUGGGCCGAUACUGACGCUGAGGAGCGAAAGCGUGGGGAGCGAACAGG